AACGAACGCUGGCGGCAUGCCUAACACAUGCAAGUCGAACGAGACCUUCGGGUCUAGUGGCGCACGGGUGCGUAACGCGUGGGAACCUGCCCUUAGGUUCGGAAUAACUCCCCGAAAGGGGUGCUAAUACCGGAUAAUGUCUUCGGACCAAAGAUUUAUCGCCUUUGGAUGGGCCCGCGUUGGAUUAGCUAGUUGGUAGGGUAAAAGCCGACCAAGGCGACGAUCCAUAGCUGGUCGGAGAGGAUGAUCCGCCACACUGGGACUGAGACACGGCCCAGACUCCUACGGGAGGCAGCAGUGGGGAAUAUUGGACAAUGGGCGAAAGCCUGAUCCAGCAAUGCCGCGUGAGUGAUGAAGGCCUUAGGGUUGUAAAGCUCCUUUACCCGGGAUGAUAAUGACAGUACCGGGAGAAUAAGCUCCGGCUAACUCCGUG
rnacentral:rRNA from 1 species